rnacentral:tRNA from 2 species
AGUCUCGUAGCUCAGGUGGUUAGAGCGUUACACUGAUAAUGUAAAGGUCCCCAGUUCGAGUCUGGGCGGGACUA